UGGCUCAGAACGAACGCUGGCGGCGUGCUUAACACAUGCAAGUCGAACGGACCCUUUCGGGGGUGAGUGGCGAACGGGUGAGUAACACGUGGGUAACCUGCCCCAGGCUCUGGGAUAACUCCGGGAAACCGGGGCUAAUACCGGAUACGACCUAUCACCGCAUGGUGUGUGGGUGGAAAGUUUUUCGGUCUGGGAUGGGCCCGCGGCCUAUCAGCUUGUUGGUGGGGUGAUGGCCUACCAAGGCGUGGACGAGUAGCCGGCCUGAGAGGGCGACCGGCCACACUGGGACUUUUUCUCGGCCCAGGGACCUACGGGAGGC
rnacentral:rRNA from 1 species